rnacentral:rRNA from 1 species
UACGUAGGGUGCAAGCGUUGUCCGGAAUUAUUGGGCGUAAAGAGCGUGUAGGCGGCCCGACCAGUCCGCUGUGAAAGUCCAGGGCUCAACCCUGGAAUGCCGGUGGAUACUGUCGGGCUAGAGUCCGGAAGGGGCGAGUGGAAUUCCUGGUGUAGCGGUGAAAUGCGCAGAUAUCAGGAGGAACACCAAUGGCGAAGGCAGCUCGCUGGGACGUGACUGACGCUGAGACGCGAAAGCGUGGGGAGCGAAAGGG